UACUACGGGAGGCAGCAGUGGGGAAUCUUGGACAAUGGGGGCAACCCUGAUCCAGCCAUGCCGCGUGAGUGAUGAAGGCCUUAGGGUCGUAAAGCUCUUUCGCCUGUGAAGAUAAUGACGGUAGCAGGUAAAGAAACCCCGGCUAAUUCCGUGCCAGCAGCCGCGGUAAUACGGAGGGGGUUAGCGUUGUUCGAAAUUACUGGGCGUAAAGCGCACGUAGGCGGAUCAGAAAGUUGGGGGUGAAAUCCCGGGGGUUACCCCCCGAACUGCCUCCAAAACUAUUGGUUUAAAGUUCGACAGAGGUGAGGGGAAUUCCUAGUGUGAAGGGGAAAUUCUCAAAUUUUCGGAAGAACACCCUUGGUUAAAGGCGGCUCUCUGGCUUCUAACUGAACCCCCAGGUGCG
rnacentral:rRNA from 1 species